ACUCUAUUCUAUUCACUCGAGGGUUUCACAUUUUAUCCAUUAGUGUCCGUAGUUCGUCUGAAGUAAAGGAGUCCGCCCUUCGUCUGAAACUGAGAAGAAGCUACACAAGUUCCUUCGAAGAUGUGUAGAUGAAGGACCGACUUUACCUUCAUCAACAACAUCAGCUUCUUCUUAAACCUCACUCAAGGCAGAACAAGGCGAUAGAGUGAUCUCCUGAGUUGGCGGUCCAAUGGUACUUCAAAGACGAACGUGCGAUGACCUUACAUAAAGGCGGUGACCUAACGUGAUAAAACGUGAGGGGAUGUGAAGUCGAUAGCAAUCAAAUCAGAAAUUCAGUUGGCGGCUGUUGAAGACCAUACCGUCGCAAAUUCAUUGAACCUUCGGUGACCAUUAGACGACGCAACAGAGUAUGGAAAUUAAUGUUAUCCAUCCAUGCAAUCAUUAAUGAGAUGAAGAACUAUUUCUGGAA